CCAGCCCGCUCAGAAACUACAAAGGAAUUGACGGGGGCCCGGCACAAGCGGUGGAGCAUGUGGUUUAAUUCGAUGAUACGCGAGGAACCUUACCUGGGCUCAAAUGUAUGUUGACGUAUUCUGAAAGGGAUACUUCUUCGGACAAUAUACAAGGUGCUGCAUGGUUGUCGUCAGCUCGUGCCGUGAGGUGUCGGGUUAAGUCCCAUAACGAGCGCAACCCCUAUCAUUAGUUGCCAUCAGGUCAAGCUGGGGACUCUAAUGAAACUGCCUACGCAAGUAGUGAGGAAGGUGGGGAUGACGUCAAAUCAGCACGGCCCUUACGUCCAGGGCUACACACGUGCUACAAUGGCCGGUACAGAGGGCAGCUACCUGGUGACAGGAUGCAAAUCUCCAAAGUCGGUCUCAGUUCGGAUCGGAGUCUGCAACCCGACUCCGUGAAGUUGGAUUCGCUAGUAAUCGCGCAUCAGCCAUGGCGCGGUGAAUACGUUCCCGGGCCUU
rnacentral:rRNA from 1 species